UACGUAGGGUGCGAGCGUUGUCCGGAAUUACUGGGCGUAAAGCGUGCGCAGGCGGUUUUGUAAGCCAGAUGUGAAAUCCCCGGGCUUAACCUGGGAAUGGCAUUUGACGACUGCAAGGCUCGAGUGCGGCAGAGGAGACUGGAAUUCCUGGUGUAGCAGUGAAAUGCGUAGAUAUCAGGAGGAACACCGAUGGCGAAGGCAGGUCUCUGGGCUGACACUGACGCUCAUGCACGAAAGCGUGGG
rnacentral:rRNA from 1 species